rnacentral:sRNA from 1 species
GCGAUGAGCUCAAGUUGCAUAAGUCGAGAUUGACACACCUUUAUGGUAAUGCACUAUGUGGAGUGCAGUCUCUCGCCGCAAGACGCAAGAAAGACGCCCUUUGGGCGUCUUU